rnacentral:rRNA from 1 species
AUGAACGCUAGCUACAGGCUUAACACAUGCAAGUCGAGGGGCAGCAUGGUCUUAGCUUGCUAAGACUGAUGGCGACCGGCGCACGGGUGAGUAACACGUAUCCAACCUGCCGUCUACUCUUGGACAGCCUUCUGAAAGGAAGAUUAAUACAAGAUGGCAUCAUGAGUCCGCAUGUUCACAUGAUUAAAGGUAUUCCGGUAGACGAUGGGGAUGCGUUCCAUUAGAUAGUAGGCGGGGUAACGGCCCACCUAGUCUUCGAUGGAUAGGGGUUCUGAGAGGAAGGUCCCCCCACAUUGGAACUGAGACACGGUCCAAACUCCUACGGGAGGCAGCAGUGAGGAAUAUUGGUCAAUGGGCGAGAGCCUGAACCAGCCAAGUAGCGUGAAGGAUGACUGCCCUAUGGGUUGUAAACUUCUUUUAUAAAGGAAUAAAGUCGGGUAUGGAUACCCGUUUGCAUGUACUUUAUGAAUAAGGAUCGGCUAACUCCGUG